GUGGAUGAUUCACAGACACUAUUAAACACAAUGUGAAUAAAAAUAAUUUAAAUUUUAUUAAUAUCAAAAUUAAAUUAUAAAUUAUGUCCAAAGAAUGUUUUACAAGUGUCAGCCAAUCUGGCUCUUAGGGCACACAUCCAACAAGGGAGCCUUCCAUCACUCUUGCACUUACCUGGCCAGUCUGGUUGAUCAAAUUCUAUUUUAGAGUGCUUUGUGCUAAGUUCACUAUAUUUGCUUUGCACCACGAGUCCGAUCUUGGUGAACCAAACCAGAAUAUCUCAAGUAGAUCCAUUAAUUAUGAAUUUAUAUUGGAUGUAAAUAAAUAAUUAAAAUCAAUGAGAUCUAAAUUAAAUCUCCUCAUAGAUAUUAAAUGGAUCGAUCUUUCACUGUUGUAGAUAUGUGGGUGCUCUACGAUAUUUUGAUUGUUCUUGACUGGAUACAGUGGUUCAGUUACAUCGAAAAAAUACAAUCACUCUAUUAACAUGAGAUGCUAGGGAUGAAAAUGAGGUUGGACCCAAUAACUAUUAGGUGAGAGAUCCAAUGAUGACUUCACUUACGUAAAAAUGGUGGAUC
rnacentral:lncRNA from 1 species